rnacentral:tRNA from 1 species
ACUUAAAUAGCUUAAGAAGUAAGAAGAGUAUAAUAUUGAAGAUAUUAAGGUGAUAAGAUAUCUUUAAGUA